rnacentral:rRNA from 1 species
AUACGGAGGGUGCAAGCGUUAUCCGGAAUCACUGGGUUUAAAGGGUCCGUAGGCGGACUAUUAAGUCAGAGGUGAAAUCCCACAGCUCAACUGUGGAACUGCCUUUGAUACUGGUAGUCUUGAGUUAUAUGGAAGUAGAUAGAAUGAGUAGUGUAGCGGUGAAAUGCAUAGAUAUUACACAGAAUACCGAUUGCGAAGGCAGUCUACUACGUAUAUACUGACGCUAAGGGACGAAAGCGUGGGGAGCGAACAGGAUUAGAAACCCGAGUAGUCC